rnacentral:rRNA from 1 species
UACGGGGGGGGCAAGCGUUGUUCGGAAUUACUGGGCGUAAAGGGCUCGUAGGCGGCCAACUAAGUCAGACGUGAAAUCCCUCGGCUUAACCGGGGAACUGCAUCUGAUACUGGAUGGCUUGAGUUCGGGAGAGGGGUGCGGAAUUCCAGGUGUAGCGGUGAAAUGCGUAGAUAUCUGGAGGAACACCGGUGGCGAAGGCGGCAUCCUGGACCGACACUGACGCUGAGGAGCGAAAGCCAGGGGAGCAAACGGG